ensembl:rRNA 5S_rRNA 5S ribosomal RNA
GCUUACGGCCAUACCACCCUGAACACGCCCGAUCUCGUCUGAUCUCGGAAGCUAAGCAGGGUCGGGCCUGGUCAGUACUUGGAUGGGAGACCGCCUGGGAAUACCAGGUGCUCUAAGCU